UACGAAGGGGGCUAGCGUUGCUCGGAAUCACUGGGCGUAAAGGGUGCGUAGGCGGGUCUUUAAGUCAGGGGUGAAAUCCUGGAGCUCAACUCCAGAACUGCCUUUGAUACUGAAGAUCUUGAGUUCGGGAGAGGUGAGUGGAACUGCGAGUGUAGAGGUGAAAUUCGUAGAUAUUCGCAAGAACACCAGUGGCGAAGGCGGCUCACUGGCCCAAUACUGACGCUGAGGCACGAAAGCGUGGGGAGCAAACAGG
rnacentral:rRNA from 1 species